rnacentral:rRNA from 1 species
UAGGGAAUCUUCCGCAAUGGACGAAAGCCUGACGGAGCAACGCCGCGUGAGUGAUGAAGGUUUUCGGAUCGUAAAGCUCUGUUGUUAGGGAAGAACAAGUGCCGUUCGAAUAGGGCGGCACCUUGACGGUACCUAACCAGAAAGCCACGGCUAACUACGUGCCAGCAGCCGCGGUAAUACGUAGGUGGCAAGCGUUGUCCGGAAUUAUUGGGCGUAAAGCGCACGCAGGUGGUUCCUUAAGUCUGAUGUGAAAGCCCACGGCUCAACCGUGGAGGGUCAUUGGAAACUGGGGAACUUGAGUGCAGAAGAGGAAAGUGGAAUUCCAAGUGUAGCGGUGAAAUGCGUAGAUAUUUGGAGGAACACCAGUGGCGAAGGCGACUUUCUGGUCUGUAACUGACACUGAGGCGCGAAAGCGUGGGGAGCAAACAGGAUUAGAUACCCUGGUAGUCCACGCCGUAAACGAUGAGUGCUAAGUGUUAGGGGGUUUCCGCCCCUUAGUGCUGCAGCUAACGCAUUAAGCACUCCGCCUGGGGAGUACGGUCGCAAGACUG